ensembl:lncRNA
GUUAAUACACUCUACUGAUCCCUGAUGGGAGAAUCAUCACCUCUGCCAACAAAGAAGCCUGGUGGAUGUUUGUUUGCAGUCUGAUGAUGGGACAUCAUGCUCUGCAUCUUCAAAGUUUGUCUCUUGAUUAUUAUUCAUACACAGUAAUGUGAAGCAUGCUCAUAUCUAGUAUAACUGGACCAACCUGGUGCUCUUCAUUUAUGGAGGCUGUUGAGUCUGAAUGUUGGAUGUUGUGUAUCUCGUGUUCUCUGGGCUUUGUUGUCCUCAGUCUUUUUGCAGGAUCAGAAAACAAAACCAGGAGGCCUGUAAAUGUUUCUUCUCCAAUUGGAUGAUGAUAAGACUGUGACACGGGAUGCCACCUUUAGUCUUGUGAUGAAGCAAAGCUCAGGAAGAAGUGUGAUUAAAUGGUACCCACAUGUGUGCUGCUGAGAAGGAUGUACAGGGGCACCUGCAGCCAAAUCCAAGCCUCCUCAGAGCGGCCGUUUGUGCUCACAGAUGGUGACGGUGUGGAGAGACGGUGGUGUUUCCUCAGAAGAACUAGCAGAGUCACAAAGGGCACGAGUCCUUCUCACCACCUUGACUUGCUGACUGAUGCUCGUCUGCACUGCACAGAGGAAAUCAACUGACCGAGGUUUGUCCAGUGCAGUGUUAUGAAAUGUAUAUUUGUUUUAUGCUUACAGAUAUGUUUUUCUUGACAGAGGCUCUGCAGAGGUUAGACAAAGAAAAUAUGUGCUUUACAUUUUACUGUGAUUUACUGGGAUAUUUGUUGCCUGAUGUUUAGCAGGAAUGGAGAAAUGGAAUCAAAGGGAGAUGUUUUUGAUGUUUUUGUAAUGAUGUAAGUAAAUCUUCAAUAUUAUUUAUUUGCUUGGUUAUAUUAGGAGUGUUUCUGAGUGAGGGAGAGAGGAGUCAUCAUCCAGGUAAAGUGACGUGGAUCAGUGGACACACUUGUCUCCCCUUUAAAGGAGAUACUCUUAGAGAGAGACGAUCAGAGUCAUCCUUAAAUGUUAGUGCUUUCAAAUACACAAACAUUUUUAAAGGACAAAAACGAACAUCCAACUUUGACUGUAACACAAAAUAAAUCUUUGCAUGUGUGUUUUCAAACUUUCAGAUGGGCAGGAUAUCAGUCUUGGACUGUCUAACCUGCCGGAGCAGCACUGAAUAACCACCGCACAUGAGCAUGUUCCUGCAACAUUCAGCAGCUUUGCUUUUGGUAAGUAGAGUUACCUAACUACAGUAACUCUAAACACAUGCCAUCCAUUUCUAACGGCCUGGUUACUUCCUGUCAGUUAUUUUAGAAACCAUGUGGUCACCUGACCUAACACUGUUUCUUCUUCUUCCCCUUAAUGUUGAAGUGUCAAAUGUCAACCAGCUGGAGAGGAAACUACACCAGUGUACUGGGAUGUUUCACCAACACGUGCCAGACGCUGUUCCUUCAUGGUGACAUCACCAGAGACAGCCCCGCCCACCCUCAGGACCUCGCCAUUGAUCAUGAUGAUUAUAAUGAUGACAGCGAGCGGAACUAAGACUGUAAAAAUCCACGACCAGAAUGUUUAGAUGCUUUCUAAUUAUUAAUGAAUACUGAGAGCCUCUUUCUGUGUUUUGUCUGUUUUGGUUUUUUUUACCUCAUUUGUUACUAACAAAGUUCAACAAACUCACACAGUUUACAUUCUGUAUGUUUCCAUCUUUACCAGCCACAGUCUAACUGCAAUUAAGAAAACAAACCGUAGAAAUCGUUGCUUUUCUCUUUUGUAAUUGAUGAUAAUUCAGUGAAUUUACUGCGCUGCUUCCUUUUGUUUCGUCUCACAUUGCUUUAAGUUUUUCAGUGUUCAGUUAUUUUUUACUGUUGUUUGAAUUCUCUGUAUGUUUGACCCUGUAGACUGUUUAAUGGACUGCUUGUCUUCCUGUUUGUAACCGCCGCCUGUUUUUGACUAAAGAUUUGGAUUUCUGACUUUAACACAGCCUCUGCGUGUCCUCCCUUUGUGUCCUCUUCCUCUGUGAAUGUGUUGCAUGUGUCACAGAUUCAUUUAUUAACAGCUUUCCCACAGUGAGUUGCAUCAGCAUUCAUUCACAGCACAUUGCAGAAGGAUUCAGAUCAAUACAGUGAUCUUAUAGUCAGAAUUAUCCUGACAGACUGCCACUGUAAAUUAUCUUUCAUCAGGUACAUUUUAAAGUUCAGUAUUUCAAAGCAGGCGUUAUGAAGAAUCAUAUUGGCAUUAGGACUGUAACAAUAUGUACUUACAAAGUCAAAGUUUUUUAAUUAUGCUAGAAUAUUGGAAGACAAUCAACUUUUAGUGUUUUCUGCAUAUUAAUUAUACUGAAAUAGAGAUGGUGACCAUAACUGUACAGAAGCACUAAACAACUGACAAUCUAACAAACAUUACUGGCCUGAGCCAUCAUGCACAGUGAGUCUGAUCCUGUGCUGUGAGAGUCUGACAAGCAUGUUUCUGGUCAGUUUGGAAGAAAUAACAUCACAAUGUUGAUCUUUUUUUAAUAUUCCUUUUACAACAUAAACUGUGACCAAAGCUACUUAUGUUCACAGCAUGUAAUAAUAGUGACAGUCCAGGACAUUGUGGUCUGUUGAGCUAGGGUUAGGGUUAGCAAUUCAGACAUAUGUAAUCAAUCUCUUGCUGGAUAUAACAAACACCUAGGAAUUUGUAUUAUAAUUCAUGAAAUAUUCAAAUUCAAUAUCAGUCAUUUUAUAUUAUAACCAUGUAUCCACCCAGGCUCAUGGUGGGGCAGGGCUCUGUCCUGGGAUGCUUGAGUGAAAGGUAAUGUACACCCUGACCAGGUAUCCAGUCUGUCACAGUUGUUUUCAAUAUUUGGUUCAAAAAUAUGAAUGAAAACAAAAAUCCAACUAGGAUUCUUGCAUAUGAUGGAUGAAGUCUGUCUUUGACUGUAUUGUCCAGCUGAUCCAUCAAACCCCCAGCAGGUGAACCUUAUUCAUGACAUAACACAGUAACAAUGUAAAAAAUUAAACAGCAACAGUCUAAAUGUAAAGUGCAUUCUAAACUCCUCUUCAAUAAAUUAUAUGGAUGUGCAGUGAGUCAUUCAGGACUGUAAAACGUGAACUACAGAACCCAGAGUCUUCACCAUUAAAUCUCUGGUUGCUUCAUUUUUCUAUC